UGGCGACCAGGCGCACGGGUGAGUAACACGUAUCCGACCUGCCGUCUACUCUUGGACAGUCUUCUGAAAGGAAGAUUAAUACAAGAUGGCAUCAUGAGUCCGCAUGUUCACAUGAUUAAAGGUAUUCCGGUAGACGAUGGGGAUGCGUUCCAUUAGAUAGUAGGCGGGGUAACGGCCCACCUAGUCUUCGAUGGAUAGGGGUUCUGAGAGGAAGGUCCCCCACAUUGGAACUGAGACACGGUCCAAACUCCUACGGGAGGCAGCAGUGAGGAAUAUUGGUCAAUGGGCGAGAGCCUGAACCAGCCAAGUAGCGUGAAGGAUGACUGCCCUAUGGGUUGUAAACUUCUUUUAUAAAGGAAUAAAGUCGGGUAUGGAUACCCGUUUGCAUGUACUUUAUGAAUAAGGAUCGGCUAACUCCGUGCCAGCAGCCGCGGUAAUACGGAGGAUCCGAGCGUUAUCCGGAUUUAUUGGGUUUAAAGGGAGCGUAGAUGGAUGUUUAAGUCAGUUGUGAAAGUUUGCGGCUCAACCGUAAAAUUGCAGUUGAUACCGGAUGUCUUGAGUGCAGUUGAGGCAGGCGGAAUUCGUGGUGUAGCGGUGAAAUGCUUAGAUAUCACGAAGACUCCGAUUGCGAAGGCAGCCUGCUAAGCU
rnacentral:rRNA from 1 species